rnacentral:lncRNA from 1 species
CAAAAAAAGAGGAUUUAGGGACUACAUUUGACAUAUAUGCUUUUGUAGACUUUGAAUUAAAUGAAUUUAAUGGUUUGACUUAACCUCUCAUUCAGUCAACUGAUAAACUCUUAGUAAGCACCUACUCUAUGUCAAGCACUGUACUAAAUAUUGAGGAUAGAAAGAAAGAGUUGGCCACAAACUAUUUUAGAAUCAGACCUCACGGCUUACAAAUGUGUCUGUAACACAGACACACAAAAAUGGACCGCCCCCCUCAGUAAUUUGGAGCCCAUGAAAGUCCUCCUGAAGAAGAUGACACAAAAGAAGCCAGAGAUCAUAAAUAGCAAGGGGAAUGGAUCAUUGGAGAUGGUCCGUCUUUGGAAAUGUCUUUGAGUAUUAUCUGGCACCAAGUCUGACCACACUGUUGUAUCAGCUCACCACAGAUCACUUCUGAUCUCCAUACAUGUGCCCAUUUGAAGUAAUGACCCUGACUGAGGAAUCAAAUUUUGUCCCUGAAAACAGAA